rnacentral:lncRNA from 1 species
GAAUAAAAUUUCAUUAUUCCUUAAUUUGCAAAAAACGUGAACAUACUCGAAUGCCAGCAUCGCGAUUCGCCUCGGCGACGCCGACAUCGGCAUCUCGUUUGACAGCCGCAGUUUGUGCCUUGCCAAGUGACGCCAAGUAUUGAACGUCGUCGUAUACGUCUUUUAUCGUGAACGAUAAAAUUUCGAUCCCCAUGCGACCAACAUCUGGUGCCGCUACCUCUCUCACCAGUGUCGCGAAUUGAUCCCGAUCUUUGUACACCUCCUCUACCGAUAACGUGCCUGAAAGUUAUCCAUAGUUUUCCUAUUUAGAUAAACGGCCAUAUUUUGUAACUUGAAACAUGGAUCCCAAAGGGAAGAGACGGAUUUGAAUGUUUUAUUUUACGAUCCAUAAAUGUGCACGCUAUUAUUAUUAUAUAUUUUUAAUAGAUAUGAAUUGAAUAUAUGUGAAAUUUAAUUAUUUAUAUGGUUUGAGACGAAUUGAGAUAAAAUAAUUGAACUUUGGACAAAUACAUAUUUUAAAUCACUUAUGAAAUGAUGUGAGAACGAGAUAUACCUAAUAUCGCACGAAGAUGACCCUCGAGGGUAGAAAGGAUUGUCGAUUUGAUUUCGUAAACGCUUUUUCCUAAAAAUUGUUCGCUGGCAGUGUGGAGGAGUUCAUCAGCCUUCAUGAUCUUGCACUGUGCUACUCCUGUGACGGUCAAUGGUACUCCCUGUGCGGUUUCCACGCUUUCACAGACAGGAUUCAGUGUCAUCACCUCGAGAGAUAAUCGUUGGACGUCGGUUACGAACCACCACGUGAACGCGUAACCACCUACGAUGGUCCUCUUUUUCAUGGACCCGCAACAUCCUCCUGAAAAUCGAAAAACAAAUUUAGUACAAAUU